rnacentral:rRNA from 1 species
UAUCCUACGGGAGGCAGCAGUGGGGAAUAUUGCACAAUGGGGGAAACCCUGAUGCAGCUACGCCGCGUGAGUGAAGAAGUAUUUCGGUAUGUAAAGCUCUCUCAGCAGGGAAGAAAAAAGACGGUACCUGACUAAGAAGCCCCGGCUAACUACGUGCCAGCAGCCGCGGUAAUACGUAGGGGGCAAGCGUUAUCCGGAUUUACUGGGUGUAAAGGGAGCGUAGACGGAGAGGCAAGUCUGAAGUGAAAGCCCGUGGCUUAACCACGGGACUGC